rnacentral:rRNA from 1 species
CGGACGUGGGUAACCUGCCCUAUACACAUGGAUAACAUACUGAAAAGUUUACUAAUACAUGAUAAUAUAUAUUUACGGCAUCGUAGAUAUAUCAAAGUGUUAGCGGUAUAGGAUGGACCCGCGUCUGAUUAGCUAGUUGGUGAGAUAACUGCCCACCAAGGCGACGAUCAGUAGCCGACCUGAGAGGGUGAUCGGCCACAUUGGAACUGAGACACGGUCCAA